rnacentral:lncRNA from 1 species
AUGACUACCAUGGCUGACAAAAUGGACAUGUUUGGAAGACAUCAUUAAGCUGAACAAGAUGCAGCAAGGACUUCGUGACAGGCCUGAUUCCCGGGUGAAGCGAGGCACUGGGCCUAAGAGAUAUCGGCCAGCUUUCACCCAUGGUGGAAGGAACAGGCUGGCACCAUACUGCAGACCAAAACAACUUCCAGACAAGUGGCAGCAUGACCUAUUCAUUGGAGGCUUCAGGGGUCAAAACCAUGAGGAUACUGGUGGGAAGCUGUUCCUGUCAAAUCUGCACAUUGGAGUGUCAGAUGCUGAUAUUCAGCUACUCUUUGCUGAAUUUGGAACGUUGAAAAAAUCUGCUGUGCACUAUGAUCGCUGUGGACGAAGUUUAGGGACAGCACAUGUGCACUUUGAAAGGAAAGCAGAUGCCCUGAAGGCUAUGAGAGAGUACAAUGGCGCCCCUUUGGAUGGCCGCCCUAUGAACAUCCACCUUGUCACCUCACAGAUUGAUAGACAAGGAAGACCUGCACAAAACAGUGAUAGGGGCGGCAUGACAAGAAACCCUGGCUCUGGAGUAUUAGGUGGUGGAGGCACCAAGAGAUGGACACUUGGAGGCAGCCAGGGAAGCGGGAGAGGCACCAGCAGGAACUCAAAACUGCAGCAGCAGCAGCAGCAGCAGCAGCAGCAGGAGCCAGAGGAGCAGAAGCACCAGAAGCAGCAACAGCAGAAGCAGCAGCAACAGCAGCAGAAGCAGGGACAGAAUCACCAGCACCAGCAGCAGCAGAAGGAGCAGCAGCAGCAACAGCAGCAGAAGGAACUGCAGCAGCUAUCUGUAGAGGAGCUGGACGCCCAGCUGGAUUAUUAUCAGGAUAUGAUGGACACCAGCUAA